GCCCCCCAUGAUGCCCAGCACUGGGCUCUGACCUCCCUUGAGGACACAGUGCCCCCCCAGGACCCUUGGACUAAAGAGAGCUAAGGAAAGC